AGAGUUUGAUCCUGGCUCAGAAUGAACGCUGGCGGCAUGGAUUAGGCAUGCAAGUCGAACGUGAUUUUGGCCUUCGGGCCGAAUGAAAGUGGCGAAAGGGUGAGUAACACGUGAGUAAUCUGCCCCCAAGUUUGGGAUAGCCCCGGGAAACCGGGAUUAAUACCAGAUGUGGUGCUUGGCUUCCUGGCCGAGACACUAAAGUUUUUCGCUUGGGGAUGAGCUCGCGGCCCAUUAGCUUUGGCGGGGUAACGGCCCACCAAGGCUACGACGGGUAGGUGGUCUGAGAGGAUGGUCACCCACACUGGGACUGAGACACUGCCCAGACUCCUACGGGAGGCUGCAGUCGAGAAUCUUCCGCAAUGGGCGCAAGCCUGACGGAGCGAUGCCGCGUGAGGGAUGAAGGCUUUCGGGUCGUAAACCUCUGUCAGAAGGGACGAAGAAUUGACGGUACCUUCAGAGGAAGCCACGGCUAACUACGUGCCAGCAGCCGCGGUAAUACGUAUGUGGCGAGCGUUAUUCGGAUUUACUGGGCGUAAAGGGUCCGCAGGGGGUUUGCCAAGUCUGAUGUGAAAUCCUGAGGCUCAACCUUGGAACUGCAUUGGAUACUGGCGAACUAGAGUCUGCGAGGGGUGAGCGGAAUUCCUGGUGUAGCGGUGGAAUGCGUAGAUAUCAGGAAGAACACCGAUGGCGAAGGCGGCUCACUGGCGCAGUACUGACCCUCAUGGACGAAAGCGUGGGGAGCAAACAGGAUUAGAUACCCUGGUAGUCCACGCUGUAAACGUUGUGCACUAGAUGUGGGCGGAUUUGAUCCCGUCCGUGUCCCAGCUAACGCGAUAAGUGCACCGCCUGGGGACUACGGCCGCAAGGCUAAAACUCAAAGGAAUUGACGGGGCCCGCACAAGCGGUGGAGCAUGUGGCUUAAUUCGAGGCAACGCGAAGAACCUUACCUGGGUUUGACAUAUUCCUGACCGGCCGUGAAAGCGGUCUUCUCUUCGGAGCAGGUUUACAGGUGCUGCAUGGCUGUCGUCAGCUCGUGUCGUGAGAUGUUCGGUUAAGUCCGGCAACGAGCGCAACCCGUGUCGUUAGUUACCAACAGGUUACGCUGGGGACUCUAGCGAAACCGCCCGUGUCAAGCGGGAGGAAGGCGCGGAUGACGUCAAGUCCGUAUGGCCCUUACAUCCAGGGCUGCACACGUGCUACAAUGGGCGGCAUAAUGGGAUGCGAUACUGUGAAGUGGAGCAAAUCCUCAAAACCGUCCCCAGUUCGGAUUGAAGUCUGCAACUCGACUUCAUGAAG
rnacentral:rRNA from 1 species